GGAUGGAGUCAACGUCAAUUUUUUCAGCCUUCAUCAUGCUUUGGGAAUGGAUCUCAAAAAUUUUACGUCGACUCUUUAAAUUAAACAGUAAAAGGAAAAUUAAACAUAAAAAUCAAUGGCAUCAAUUUCAUCGAUGAAUAUAAUUGUUGGCGAAUUUUCGGCUGCUAAUUUAAACAGUUCCCGAACCAAUUUAGCCCCUUCACCAAUGUGCUUUUGAACCAAUUCUGAAGCAACAACAUACAAGAAUGAAGCAGAAGUUGAAUUAGCAACUGCCUUAGCUAAUAAAAUCUUACCCGUUCCAGGUGGACCAAAUAAAAUGACUCCUGACGUGAUGCAAAUUGUUUUUGAUAAAAGGUUACCAUUCAAGACCAUUAAAAGUGGGAUCAACAUGUCAAAGAAAUAGAAAUGAAACAAGUCAGUUCAAAAAUUGCAUCAAAUUUGAAAAUACAGCAAAUUAUGUUUCAACAAUCAAAAGCAACUGAAGAAUUCCAAUUUCAAACUGUAUUUGUGAAAGUAUUUCAUUUUAAAAAUUAGAUAAGCUUA